UACGUAGGCGGCAAGCGUUAUCCGGAAUCACUGGGCAUAAAGCGCACGCAGGCGGUGGUGUAAGUCAGCUGUGAAAUCCCCCGGCUCAACCGAGGAACUGCAGCUGAUACUGCAUCGCUAGAGGGUGGGAGGGGAGAACGGAAUUCCUGGUGGAGCGGUGAAAAGCGUAGAUAGCAGGAGGAACGCCGGAGGCGAAAGCGGUUCUCUGGCCCGCUACUGACGCUGAGGUGCGAAAGCUAGGGGAGCAAACAGG
rnacentral:rRNA from 1 species